GACGAACGCUGGCGGCGUGCUUAACACAUGCAAGUCGAACGGAAAGGCCCUGCUUUUGUUGGGUGCUCGAGUGGCGAACGGGUGAGUAACACGUGUGUAACCUGCCCUUGACUUUGGGAGAACUUCAGGAAACUGGGGCUAAUACCGGAGAGGAUCUCCUGCUGCAUGGGGGGGGUUGGAAAGUUUCGGCGGUUGGGGAUGGACUCGCGGGUUAUCAGCUUGUUGGUGGGGUAGGUGCUUACCAAGGCUUUGACGGGUAGCCGGCCUGGGAGGGUGACCGGCCACAUUGGGACUGCGGUACGGAGCAGUAUCCUACGGGACGCAGCAGUGGAGAAUAUUGCACAAUGGCGGGACGCCUGAUGCAGAAACGCCGCGUGCGGGAUGACGGCCUUCGGGUUGUAAACCGCUUUCGAAUGUAACGAAGCGUGAGUGACGGUACUGGGUAAAGAAGCACCGGCUAACUACGUG
rnacentral:rRNA from 1 species